rnacentral:rRNA from 1 species
GACGAACGCUGGCGGCGUGCUUAACACAUGCAAGUCGAACGGAAAGGCCCUGCUUUUGUGGGGUGCUCGAGUGGCGAACGGGUGAGUAACACGUGUGUAACCUGCCCUUGACUUUGGGAUAACUUAAGGAAACUGGGGCUAAUACCGGACAGGAGCUCCCGCUGCAUUGUGGGGGUUGGAAAGUUUCGGCGGUUGGGGAUGGACUCGCGGCUUAGAAGCUUGUUGGUGGGGUAGUGGCUUACCAAGGCUUGGACGGGUAGCUGGCCUGGGAGGGUGACCGGGUACAUUGGGCUCGGGUAGGGGGCCGUACUCUUACGGGCGGCAUAGGUGGAGAAUAUUGCACGAUGUGCGGAGUCCUGGGAGAGCGACCCCGCGUUCGGGAUGACGGCCUUCGGGAAGGAAAACGAUUUCGUCGGUGACUAGGCGUAGUUGACGUUAAUGGAUAAGAAGGCACCGGCUAAUUACGG